CGUGCUUAACACAUGCAAGUCGCACGAGAACGCUUCAGCUUGCUGAAGUUAGUAAAGUGGCGCACGGGUGAGUAACGCGUGGGUAAUCUACCCCCGAAUUGGGGAUAACAUCGCGAAAGCGAUGCUAAUACCGGAUAAUAUCUUAAAAACCUCGGUUUUAAAGAUCAAAGGUGGCCUCUACAUGUAAGCUUCUGUUUGGGGAUGAGCCCGCGUACCAUUAGCUUGUUGGUAGGGUAAUGGCCUACCAAGGCUGCGAUGGUUAGCUGGUCUGAGAGGAUGAUCAGCCACACUGGAACUGACACACGGUCCAGACUCCUACGGGAGGCAGCAGUGAGGAAUUUUGCGCAAUGGGGGAAACCCUGACGCAGCAACGCCGCGUGAGUGAUGAAGGCUUUCGGGUCGUAAAGCUCUGUCAAGUGGGAAGAACCCACAUGGUGAUAAUACCACUAUGUGUUGACGGUACCACUGAAGGAAGCACCGGCUAACUCCGUG
rnacentral:rRNA from 1 species